rnacentral:rRNA from 1 species
CUACGGGCGGCUGCAGUUAGGAAUAAUCUACAAUGCGCGAAAGCGUGAUAGUUUGAGCCAGAGUGCUUUUCAUUUGAAAAGCUUUUGCCAAAUGUAAAAAGUUUGGCGAAUAAGGACUGGGUAAGACGAGUGCCAGCCGCCGCGGUAAUACUCGCGGUCCAAGUCGCAACCACAUUUAUUGGGUCUAAAACAUCCGUAGCUUGCUGAAUAAGUUUCUUGUGAAAUUUUGUAUCUUAAGUACAAAGCGCGCGAGAAGUACUAUUAAGCUAGAGACUGGAAGACGUAAGAAGUAUGUUCGAAGUAGCGGUAAAAUGUUUUAAGCUCGGACAGACUCACAAUAGCGAAGGCAUCUUACGAGGACAGUUCUGACAGUAAGGGAUGAAGGCUAGGGGCGCAAAACGGAUUAGAUACCCCCGUAGUC